rnacentral:rRNA from 1 species
GACGUAGGGCGCGAGCGUUGUCCGGAUUUAUUGGGCGUAAAGAGCUCGUAGGCGGUGUGUCGCGUCGGCCGUGAAAACCUGCAGCUUAACUGUGGGCUUGCGGUCGAUACGGGCAUCACUGGAGUUCGGCAGGGGAGACUGGAAUUCCUGGUGUAGCGGUGAAAUGCGCAGAUAUCAGGAGGAACACCGAUGGCGAAGGCAGGUCUCUGGGCAUUAACUGACGCUGAGGAGCGAAAGCAUGGGGAGCGAACAGG